rnacentral:rRNA from 1 species
UGGGGAAUUUUGGACAAUGGGCGCAAGCCUGAUCCAGCCAUUCCGCGUGCAGGAUGAAGGCCUUCGGGUUGUAAACUGCUUUUGUACGGAACGAAAAGGCUCUGGUUAAUACCUGGGGCUCAUGACGGUACCGUAAGAAUAAGCACCGGCUAACUACGUGCCAGCAGCCGCGGUAAUACGUAGGGUGCAAGCGUUAAUCGGAAUUACUGGGCGUAAAGCGUGCGCAGGCGGUGAUGUAAGACAGAGGUGAAAUCCCCGGGCUCAACCUGGGAACUGCCUUUGUGACUGCAUCGCUGGAGUACGGCAGAGGGGGAUGGAAUUCCGCGUGUAGCAGUGAAAUGCGUAGAUAUGCGGAGGAACACCGAUGGCGAAGGCAAUCCCCUGGGCCUGUACUGACGCUCAUGCACGAAAGCGUGGGGAGCAAACA